UCUUAUAAUCUCUGUUAACGUUUUCUGACACGGAGAAGGAAGGCGAAGGAGAAGAGGGGAGUGCCAGCUCACUUAUAGGGCAGUAAUGUGGGCCUAGAUCUCUAAGAAGCAGAGGUUACACAUUCCAACAUGUUAUUACCUUUCUGCAUGUCUCUUGCCGUGUUGAGCAGAGAUGCAAUAUGUGGCUGAGGGUCUUUACCUCCAGCUCCUUUACGUAAUGGUGAAGUUUGGAUCUUGUCCUGCAAUACUAGUGGACUACUCCACAGCUGAGUGUGGAUCUAAGAGUUUCAGAUCUGCUUAUGGCCUGUCCAGAAACAGUCAUCAAACCAAGUGGGAGAAUUUCUGAUUUUUUUUGGUUUUCUUUAGAAGAAGAAAAAAUAAAUACGAAAACUACAAAAGUAAGGAAACUACAUACGUUAUUACUAUAUGUACACUACCACUUACAUUACUAUCCAAGUAAAUGCAUUUAAAGAUUAAGCUAACAAAGGCCUGCAUGCAAAUUAGGAUGUCAGCAGUUAUACUGCUUAUACAUCAUUCAGUUGUCUCAUACAUUCUCUUAACUACAUGAUCACGCAAACCCUUUUCAAAUUCAUUGCCUGGGAUAAGUGAACUCCGAAAAAGAAUGAAGGCAAUAUUUCUCAGUCCUGCCAGGAGCUGAAAGGCAUGUGUGGAAAGAGACAGAGGGCAGGCAGGGAGAGCUUGGUGGCAUGAAUGAGGCAGGUGAACGUGCCUCUCAGAGAAGACUGGAGCCAGCAGAGAAAGCACAGGAGGUCCCAGAAGGGUGGAGGAAAGCAAAGUCCAUCCCUCUGGAAAGGGACAAGGGAAGUUCUGGGAAAUGUAAACCAGAUACUGGAGUGAAGCAUUAACCUGUUGCCUUCUAAGCAUCUAGAAGAUAGCACAAUGAUAAAAGCAAAAAAGGGUUUGUCAAGAUUAUUUUGAACUGGUGGCACCUGUAGUAGAGGAUGGAGGGGAGGCACGGGAUAGAAGUACAGUUAAUGUUUUAGCAGGAAGAGUGCAUAGGGAACUGAAAAUUACAUUCAAGGAAUAGGCCUCAUCAUAAUAUAGGAUUAUGCAGGCAUCUGUCCUGAGUCCGCUGCUCUUCAGCACUUUCACUACUGGUUUGGGCAAUGGCAUCAUGUAUGCACUUAACCCCAAGAUGACUGCAGUGGGAGGGAAUGCAGGCGACUUUAGACAGCAGGAGUAGAAUUCAAAAUGAAAUGCUGAAAUAAAAACUGAUGAAGAAAAGUAAGGUGCUAUACUGACAGAUGUCAAAAAAUCAAAUGCAGAGAUGGUGAGUACGGACCAGCCAGCUGGGCAGUGGCUCUGCAGAUAAGGGCCUAGUAAGUGGUAGGCUAGUGGCUCACAAGUGCAGCACAAGUCAGUGCUGUCAUGAUACUUUUGCUACUACCAACUUAAUUCCAGCUUCCACAGGAGUGUUGCCUGUAAGAUUUGGGGGAGGAUUGCUCUGCUCUGCUCAGUUCAGAUAAGGUCUCAGCUGGAGCAUUCAGGGAAGCACAGGGUGUGCACGUGAACUGUAAGAAAUGUGGAGAAAUAUCACAGCAGUAUUCAGAGCUUCAGAAAAUACAGCCAGUGAUGGUGUGUG